AGCAAAGGUUGCCAUAGAUGUGAGGAAGUUGUGAAUCAUAUUUGGAAAUUCAAGUUUGAACUGAGAGAUAGUGAUCGACCUAGUGUGCAAUCAUCGAUGCUUAUGAUCCACUACGGAUAGAUAAAGGCAUUUCAUAGCACUUUAUUCCGAGUCGUUCCGCUGCUAGAGGUCGAGUCAUCCAUAACUUGAAGUAUGUGUAAAUAGUGUCAAUAUAAAUAUGCAGUUAGAUACUACAAACUCUAAUGUAUUCUUACGGUUUUGGUGAAUAAAUGAUAAGUUGGUUUAUUAUUAUU